rnacentral:rRNA from 1 species
UACGUAGGGUGCAAGCGUUGUCCGGAAUUAUUGGGCGUAAAGAGCUCGUAGGCGGUUUGUCGCGUCGAAUGUGAAAACCCGGGGCUCAACCCCGGGCCUGCAGUGGGUACGGGCAGACUAGAGUGCGGUAGGGGAGAUUGGAAUUCCUGGUGUAGCGGUGGAAUGCGCAGAUAUCAGGAGGAACACCAAUGGCGAAGGCAGAUCUCUGGGCCGUAACUGACGCUGAGGAGCGAAAGCAUGGGGAGCGAACAGG